GACAGAGGUGCCAAGCGUUAGGCGGAAUCACUGGGCUUAAAGCGUGUGUAGGCGGAUGUCUAAGUACCUUGUGAAAAUCCCCACGGCUCAACCGUGGAACUGCUUGGUAUACUGGGCGUCUUGAGCCAUCUAGGGGGCUACCGGAACAAAUGGUGGAGCGGUGAAAAUGCGUAGAUAUCAUUUGGAACGCCAAUGGUGAAAACAGGUAGCUGGGGAUGUGCUGACGCUGAGACACGAAAGCCAGGGGAGCAAACGGG
rnacentral:rRNA from 1 species